rnacentral:rRNA from 1 species
GGAUUAGAUACCCUGGUAGUCCACGCCCUAAACGAUGUCAACUAGCCGUUGGGUUCAUUUAAGGACUUAGUGGCGCAGCUAACGCGAUAAGUUGACCGCCUGGGGAGUACGGUCGCAAGAUUAAAACUCAAAGGAAUUGACGGGGGCCCGCACAAGCGGUGGAGCAUGUGGUUUAAUUCGAUGCAACGCGAAGAACCUUACCAGGCCUUGACAUCCAGAGAACUUUCGAGAGAUCGAUUGGUGCCUUCGGGAACUCUGUGACAGGUGCUGCAUGGCUGUCGUCAGCUCGUGCCG